GAGUUCCUACGGGGGGCAGCAGUGAGGAAUAUUGGUCAAUGGACGGAAGUCUGAACCAGCCAUGCCGCGUGCAGGAAGACGGCUCUAUGAGUUGUAAACUGCUUUUGUACAAGGGUAAACCUGAAUACGUGUAUUCAGCUGAAAGUACUGUACGAAUAAGGAUCGGCUAACUCCGUGCCAGCAGCCGCGGUAAUACGGAGGAUCCAAGCGUUAUCCGGAUUUACUGGGUGUAAAGGGCGUGUAGCCGGGCUGACAAGUCAGAUGUGAAAUCCGGGGGCUCAACCCCCGAACUGCAUUUGAAACUG
rnacentral:rRNA from 1 species